UACGCAGGGGGCUAGCGUUGUUCGGAAUUACUGGGCGUAAAGCGCGCGUAGGCGGCGACCUUUGUCAGAGGUGAAAUCCCGAGGCUCAACUUCGGAAUUGCCUUUGAAACUGGGUUGCUUGAGUCCGAGAGAGGAUGGCGGAAUUCCUAGUGUAGAGGUGAAAUUCGUAGAUAUUAGGAAGAACACCGGUGGCGAAGGCGGCCAGCUGGCUCGGUACUGACGCUGAGGCGCGAAAGCUAGGGGAGCAAACGGG
rnacentral:rRNA from 1 species